CAAAAAAAAAAAAAAAUCAAAGUUCAAAAGUUCAGUUAACUUGCAUUUUGCUCAUAUCAUCAAAGCAGCAGCCAUAAGCAAAUCAAGACAUCUACAAGCUGUUACGAUAAUUUGCAGAAUCAGAAGAGCAAUGCUUUUUAGAUCUUAAAAUCAGAUUAUAAAAACAAAAGAAAACAGAACUAAGCUGUCGAAGUUUUCAAGAAUUCCAUUCGGAUGCAACAUACAUUUCUCCAAUUCUUCUUCUGGGAUGAAGUAUGCCGCAUACAUUUCAAUAACAAGAACAACACCGAUUUAAUCAGAAAAGUCCAGGCUUUUCCACAAUGUCCAUUAGUCAUACAUCUAUCUACUUAUUUUUAGACCAAAUUGUGCAUAACAAUAUCGAAUGCCCUAAGAUAAACCACAAAACGUCAAAAUUUUGAUAUUAUUCAGUCACAUUUCAAGUUAUCAAAUCAUUUGUAGAUCAAUUUCUACCACUCAAAUUCCCAAAAAUUGCACAAUCGAAACCGAACAGAUAAAGAGCAAGAGAGUUACAACAAG
rnacentral:misc_RNA from 1 species